UGGAGAAUUUUGGACAAUGGGCGCAAGCCUGAUCCAGCAAUGCCGCGUGAGUGAAGAAGGCCUUCGGGUUGUAAAGCUCUUUUGUCAGGGAAGAAACGGCUGGGGCUAAUAUCCCCGGCUAAUGACGGUACCUGAAGAAUAAGCACCGGCUAACUACGUGCCAGCAGCCGCGGUAAUACGUAGGGUGCAAGCGUUAAUCGGAAUUACUGGGCGUAAAGCGUGCGCAGGCGGUUUUGUAAGUCUGACGUGAAAGCCCCGGGCUCAACCUGGGAAUUGCGUUGGAGACUGCAAGGCUUGAAUCUGGCAGAGGGGGGUAGAACUCCACGUGUAGCAGUGAAAUGCGUAGAGAUGUGGAGGAACACCGAUGGCGAAGGCAGCCCCCUGGGUCAAGAUUGGCGCUCAUGCACGAAAGCGUGGGGAGCAAACAGGAUUAGAUACCCUGGGUAGUCCACGCCCUAAACGAUGUCUACUAGUUGUCGGGUUUUAAUUAACUUGGUAACGCAGCUAACGCGUGAAGUAGACCGCCUGGGGAGUACGGUCGCAAGAUUA
rnacentral:rRNA from 1 species